UACGUAGGGUGCAGGCGUUAAUCGGAAUUACUGGGCGUAAAGCGUGCGCAGGCGGUUUGCUAAGACAGGUGUGAAAUCCCCGGGCUUAACCUGGGAACUGCGCUUGUAACUGGCAAGCUAGAGUGUGGCAGAGGGGGGGUGGAAUUCCACGUGUAGCAGUGAAAUGCGUAGAGAUGGUGGAGGAACACCGAUGGCGAAGGCAGCCCCCCUGGGCUAACACUGACGCCUCAUGCACGAAAGCGUGGGGAGCAAACAGG
rnacentral:rRNA from 1 species